rnacentral:rRNA from 1 species
UACGAAGGUGGCAAGCGUUGUUCGGAUUCACUGGGCGUACAGGGUGUGUAGGCGGUUUGGUAAGCCUUCUGUUAAAGCUUCGGGCCCAACCCGGAAAGCGCAGAGGGUACUGCCAGGCUAGAGGACGGGAGAGGAGCGCGGAAUUCCCGGUGUAGCGGUGAAAUGCGUAGAGAUCGGGAGGAAGGCCGGUGGCGAAGGCGGCGCUCUGGAACGUUACUGACGCUGAGACACGAAAGCGUGGGGAGCGAUCCGG